rnacentral:rRNA from 1 species
UACGUAGGUGGCAAGCGUUGUCCGGAAUUACUGGGUGUAAAGGGCGUGUAGGCGGGUUAUUAAGUCAGAUGUGAAAUUCCAGGGCUCAACCCUGGCGCUGCAUCUGAAACUGGUAAUCUUGAGUGCUGGAGAGGAAAGCGGAAUUCCUAGUGUAGCGGUGAAAUGCGUAGAUAUUAGGAGGAACACCAGUGGCGAAGGCGGCUUUCUGGACAGUAACUGACGCUGAGGCGCGAAAGCGUGGGGAGCAAACAGG